GGCCACAUCACGUUGAAACACUAGUUUCCGUACGACCACCGAAGUUAAGCAACAUCUAGCUUGGUCAUUACGUAGAUGGGUGAGAGUUUGAGAAUACCAGGUGCUGUAAG